rnacentral:rRNA from 1 species
UACGUAGGGUGCGAGCGUUAAUCGGAAUUACUGGGCGUAAAGCGUGCGCAGGCGGUUUUGUAAGUCUGUCGUGAAAUCCCCGGGCUCAACCUGGGAAUUGCGAUGGAGACUGCAAGGCUAGAAUCUGGCAGAGGGGGGUAGAAUUCCACGUGUGAGCAGUGAAAUGCGUAGAGAUGUGGAGGAACACCGAUGGCGAAGGCAGCCCCCUGGGUCAAGAUUGACGCUCAUGCACGAAAGCG